AUCGCUUCUCUGCCUGUUGGCUAAGAUCAAGUGUAGUAACUGUUCUUAUCAGUUUAAUACAUUCAACCACUGUACGUCUUUUGAUUAAAGAACUUAAUCCAUUUACAUUGAAAGUAAUUACUGGUAGAUAUGUGCUUACUGCCAUUUUGUUCAUUGUCUUCUGACAGUUUUAUAGUUCCUUCC